rnacentral:rRNA from 1 species
AGUGAACGCUGGCGGUAGGCCUAACACAUGCAAGUCGAACGGCAGCACAGUAAGAGCUUGCUCUUACGGGUGGCGAGUGGCGGACGGGUGAGGAAUACAUCGGAAUCUACUUUUUCGUGGGGGAUAACGUAGGGAAACUUACGCUAAUACCGCAUACGACCUACGGGUGAAAGCAGGGGAUCUUCGGACCUUGCGCGAUUGAAUGAGCCGCUGUCGGAUUAGCUAGUUGGCGGGGUAAAGGCCCACCAAGGCGACGAUCCGUAGCUGGACUGAGAGGAUGAUAGGCCACACUGGAACUGAGACACGGUCCAGACGCCUAAGGGAGGCAGCAGUGGGGAAUAUUGGACAAUGGGCGCAAGCAUGAUCCAGCCAUACCGAGUGGGUGAAGAAGGCCUUCGGGUUGUAAAGACCUUUUGUUGGGAAAGAAAAGCAGCAGGUUAAGACCCAGCUGUUCUGACGGUACCCAAAGAAUAAGCACCGGCUAACUUCGUG